UCACAUGAUUCGGAAGGCAUUCUGGGCUCAGCCAGCGGAUUUCGUUACGCGGGCAUUUUGCUGUACCACGGGCAGAAAUAUUGCCGUGAAGUGCCUUCGUAACUUGAAUUUUUCGUUAAAUGGGGUCUUCGUUAGCUGGGGUUCGACUGUAUUUAUAUUUCUUGCAGCCUGUUAACACUGUACCUCCUGCAAAAAUAUCUGCUGGAGUUUAUGCUGCACUAAAACCUCUAUGACAUAGUUGCACUCACUGCUAAAAGGAAAGCCAGAGGAGCAGACACAUCCCAGCAAAACACUGAUGCAGUUUUUACACAUUAAAUGGAAGUGAUAUAAGAUACAGUCCUGAUUAAAAGGUUUAAGACCACUUGAAAACUGGCAAAAAUCAUAUUUUGCAGGGUUGGAUCUUAACAAAUGUUGUUACUAAGAAAAUUUUUUAUUCUCAAAUGCAGACAUUUCAAAGCUAAAUGACAUGAUUUUGAAAAUGAGAAGUGAUAUUAAGUAUAUUCAUUGUUAAUCACAGAAUCAUAAUUCAUAUAUGAUUUUAUUGAUAGUUAAUUAUGUUUAACUGCUCAGCACUGAUCAGAAUAUAACCAGGAAUAAGUUUAACCUGUGUGAUAGAUCAGAAAAUGUAAUAUAGACGGGCUUCACACAGAGUCUGUCCUUAGUGUGUGUGCGUGUGUGUGUGUGUGUGGCAGCUCCAAUUAUAGAGCCAGCAUUCCUCACUAGUUUGUCUCCUCUCAUUUCUAAAACAUGUAUCAAACAGACAAAUAUGCAACAAUAAGAAAAAACCUUCUUCCCAGCACUAUACACCCACUCUCCUGUUGGCAUAUUUCUGCUGUUUCCUGUUCACCAGUGGAUCAAUGGAUUCAUGUAAAUGUUGAAAUAUGAAUCAUGGCCAUGAGAAUAAUCUAAAUGUACAUCCACCACAUGGUCAAAUAUUACUGAACUGGUGGUCCAAAUCUCCACAGGAUGCCUUUAAGCAGUCAGGAUCUGUCUGUGGAAUAGUUUCAAGGAUCAUUUGUUUUGGAUCACCUGGAGAGUUUCCCUCCUUUCUCCUGCAGGGGUUUCCUCUCUAUCAGCAGUGCUUCCAUCUGUGCAGCCCGUCCAGUUUUCCCACCAGAGGAGACAUUUCAGGACUACGACCCACAAAGUGGAGACCUACGUCUUUCAUAUGUUCCGGCACUACGGCUUCAGCUGGAUGAGAAAGAGCGUCGACUACUUCCUGCUGCAGUCCAACUCAAAGUACAUCACCUGGUGGUCGAUGGCCCUCAGCCUCCUCAUCGUCACCUCUGGGUACCUGCGGCUACUCUUCCUCAAAAGCCUCUUUGUCAGCAAUACCGGCACAGAGGGCGAGAAGCCUCGGUGCUGAUAGACUCAAACGAAAACCAAAAGAAAAAGAAUUUAAAAAAUAAAAAUGUCUGGAUUUGUGUGGAGGAACGGCAGACACGAACGAAUUCAAAGCAGUGAUGGUUCUUUCUCCUUGAAUGAAUAAAUAUUAGAAA